rnacentral:rRNA from 1 species
UACAGAGGGCUCAACCGUUGUUCGGAUUCAUUGGGCGUAAAGGGUGCGUAGGCGGUCGCGCAAGUCGGAUGUGAAAUCUUAGGGCUCAACCCUGAAACUGCAUUCGAUACUGCGUGGCUCGAGUACUGGAGAGGAGACUGGAAUUUACGGUGUAGCAGUGAAAUGCGUAGAUAUCGUAAGGAAGACCAGUGGCGAAGGCGGGUCUCUGGGCCGAUACUGACGCUGAGGAGCGAAAGCGUGGGGAGCGAACAGG